CGCGGCCUAUCAGCUUGUUGGUGAGGUAACGGCUCACCAAGGCGACGACGGGUAGCCGGCCUGAGAGGGCGACCGGCCACACUGGGACUGAGACACGGCCCAGACUCCUACGGGAGGCAGCAGUGGGGAAUAUUGCACAAUGGGCGGAAGCCUGAUGCAGCGACGCCGCGUGAGGGAUGACGGCCUUCGGGUUGUAAACCUCUUUCAGCAGGGAAGAAGCGCAAGUGACGGUACCUGCAGAAGAAGCGCCGGCUAACUACGUGCCAGCAGCCGCGGUAAUACGUAGGGCGCAAGCGUUGUCCGGAAUUAUUGGGCGUAAAGAGCUCGUAGGCGGCUUGUCGCGUCGGAUGUGAAAGCCCGGGGCUUAACCCCGGGUCUGCAUUCGAUACGGGCAGGCUAGAGUUCGGUAGGGGAGAUCGGAAUUCCUGGUGUAGCGGUGAAAUGCGCAGAUAUCAGGAGGAACACCGGUGGCGAAGGCGGAUCUCUGGGCCGAUACUGACGCUGAGGAGCGAAAGCGUGGGGAGCGAACAGGAUUAGAUACCCUGGUAGUCCACGCCGUAAACGGUGGGAACUAGGUGUUGGCGACAUUCCACGUCGUCGGUGCCGCAGCUAACGCAUUAAGUUCCCCGCCUGGGGAGUACGG
rnacentral:rRNA from 1 species